rnacentral:RNase_P_RNA from 1 species
UAGGAAAAUCAUAUAUAUAAUAUAUUAUAUAUAAAUUAAUAUAUAAUAUACAUAUAUAUAUAUAUAUACAUAUAUAUAUAUAAUUAAUAUAUUUAAUAUUUAUAAUAAUUAAUAAUAAAAUAAUAAUUAUUAAUAAUAAUAAUAAAUAAUUAUAAAUUAUAUAAAAAUUAAUUAAUAUAUAUAUAUAUAUUAAAUAAAUAAUUAAUAAUAUUAAUAUAUUAUAAAUAGAAAUAUAUUUAUAUUAAUAAUUGAUAUAUAUAUAAAUUAUUAUAUAUAUCAUAUAUUUAUAUAAAUAAUAAAUAAAUAAUAAUAAUAUUGUUAUUAUAUAUAUUAUAUAUUAUAUAUUAUAUAAAAUAAUAAUUAAAUAUAAUUAUAUAAUUAUAUAAUUAUAAAUAAUUUAUUAAAUUAUAUAUAUAUAUAUAUAAUAAAUAAAUAAUAAUUAAAUUAUUAUUAAUAAUUGAAUAAUUGAAAAGAAUAUUAAUUAAUUAAUUAAUAAUUAAUAUAUAUAUAUAUAUAUUAUCAUUAUUAUUAUAUAAUUAAUAAUUAUAUUAUUUAUAAUAAUAAAUAAUUAUUAUAAUAUAUAAAUAUAAAAUAUUAUAUAUAUAAUUAUAUUAUAUAUAUAUAUUAUAUUAUAUAUAUAAAUAUAAAAUAUAAAAUAUUAUAUAUAUAAUUAAUAUAAUAAUAAUAAUAAAAUUAAAUUAUUAAUAUUAAUAAGUGUUAUAAAAUAUUAUAUAUAUUAUAAUAUAUAAUUAUUAUAUAUAUAAUUGAUAAAUAAUAAUAAAAUUAUAUUAUAAUAAUAAUAAUAACUAAAAUAUGGUUAA